rnacentral:rRNA from 1 species
GACACGGCCCAGACUCCUACGGGAGGCAGCAGUGGGGAAUAUUGCGCAAUGGGGGCAACCCUGACGCAGCCAUGCCGCGUGAAUGAAGAAGGCCUUCGGGUUGUAAAGUUCUUUCGGUAGCGAGGAAGGCAUUUAGUUUAAUAAACUAAGUGAUUGACGUUAACUACAGAAGAAGCACCGGCUAACUCCGUGCCAGCAGCCGCGGUAAUACGGAGGGUGCGAGCGUUAAUCGGAAUAACUGGGCGUAAAGGGCACGCAGGCGGUGACUUAAGUGAGGUGUGAAAGCCCCGGGCUUAACCUGGGAAUUGCAUUUCAUACUGGGUCGCUAGAGUACUUUAGGGAGGGGUAGAAUUCCACGUGUAGCGGUGAAAUGCGUAGAGAUGUGGAGGAAUACCGAAGGCGAAGGCAGCCCCUUGGGAAUGUACUGACGCUCAUGUGCGAAAGCGUGGGGAGCAAACAGGAUUAGAUACCCUGGUAGUCCACGCUGUAAACGAUGAAUACUAGGUGUGCGGGGACUGACCCCCUGCGUGCCGCAGUUAACACAAUAAGUAUCCCACCUGGGGAGUACGAUCGCAAGGUUGAAACUCAAAGGAAUUGACGGGGGCCCGCACAAGCGGUGGAUUAUGUGGUUUAAUUCGAAGCAACGCGAAGAACCUUACCAGGGUUUGACAUCCUGCUAACGAAGUAGAGAUACAUUAGGUGCCCUUCGGGGAAAGCAGAGACAGGUGGUGCAUGGUUGUCGUCAGCUCGUGUCGUGAGAUGUUGGGUUAAGU